CUUUCCGCGCCUGCAGCGUGGCGUGCGCGAGACAGCGUCGCCUCGAGCUACGGGGGGCGGCUUGAAAUUGAAACGCGCUGGGACGCCGCGCUGGCUAGGAGCCGACGCGCGCGCACGGGGAGAAGGGCUGCGAGUGACUGCAAAGAGGGGGUGGCCAUCCCAUGUUUCUAAAAGCAAACGUUAGCUGCAAGCAAGGAUGAAAUUGAGGAACAAUUUGAAGUGAAAUGUAAUCCUGCUGAGAAUGGUAAAACCACUACAGAGAAUAUGAAGAAAUGGUUCCAGAGAGAGGAGAAGAGACUUUUUCUCACAUGGUCAGCUCAGCUUUAGUCCAUUCCAGACUAAACUAGUGGUACCACCAGCGGAGCGAAACUUUUGAGUCAAGAAGUGAUGGCUGUGAUGCAGUCAUGACCAUAACAGAAACCUGAAGGCUCUUUUGGGCAGGUGGAGAGAGCAACAAAACCAAACAUGCUAGAGCUCACAUCUCCUCCUCCCCUUUCUUUCUGUGCUCACACCAUCCUGUUUGCUGCCUCACUUCCGUGUCACUUUCAGCUCUGCCAUGGCUGUCACUGGAAGUACCAUGCAGAAAAGCUACACAAACCAUUACUGUUGAAACAAAAUUGAUCUUACACUACCACUGAGUAAAUUAAAUAGUGUUGAUUUCAGUAGAACAACGAUUGUACAUGUGACAUUGAUAACAAUACAUCAUGAAUUCAUUAUGAACAGGACUACUUCAGUAAAUACCAGAUGAAUUCAUGAUGACUGGAUUCUUAAAAUGCUACCAGGUUUACUACAGGUUUUCUGUUUCCAUGUGUAAUUACUACCAGGACUAUCACUAUUACCUACUAAUUUAAUAAAUGAAACCAAACAGAAAAUUAAAAACAGUGUACCUGAGUCUUGCUACAAAAAUACUGAACGUCUUAA